UCUCCAUAUAUGUAAAACCUACACCUCA
rnacentral:sRNA from 1 species